CCUGGUUGAUUCUGCCAGUAGUCAUAUGCUUGUCUCAAAGAUUAAGCCAUGCAUGUCUAAGUAUAAGCAAUUAUACAGCGAAACUGCGAAUGGCUCAUUAUAUAAGUUAUCGUUUAUUUGAUAGUACCUUACUACUUGGAUAACCGUGGUAAUUCUAGAGCUAAUACAUGCUAAAAAUCCCGACUUCGGAAGGGAUGUAUUUAUUAGAUUAAAAACCAAUGCCCCCUGGGCUCUCUGGUGAUUCAUAAUAACUUCUCGAAUCGCAUGGCCUUGUGCCGGCGAUGGUUCAUUCAAAUUUCUUCCCUAUCAACUUUCGAUGUUUGGGUAGUGGCCAAACAUGGUUGCAACGGGUAACGGAGGGUUAGGGCUCGACCCCGGAGAAGGAGCCUGAGAAACGGCUACUACAUCCAAGGAAGGCAGCAGGCGCGCAAAUUACCCAAUCCCGAUUCGGGGAGGUAGUGACAAUAAAUACCGAUACAGGGCUCUUUUGGGUCUUGUAAUUGGAAUGAGUACAAUUUAAAUCCCUUAACGAGGAACAAUUGGAGGGCAAGUCUGGUGCCAGCAGCCGCGGUAAUUCCAGCUCCAAUAGCGUAUAUUAAAGUUGUUGUGGUUAAAAAGCUCGUAGUUGAACCUUGGGCCUGGCUGGCCGGUCCGCCUCACCGCGUGUACUGGUCCGGCCGGGCCUUUCCCUCUGUGGAACCCCAUGCCCUUCACUGGGCGUGGCGGGGAAACAGGACUUUUACUUUGAAAAAAUUAGAGUGCUCCAGGCAGGCCUAUGCUCGAAUACAUUAGCAUGGAAUAAUGAAAUAGGACGCGCGGUUCUAUUUUGUUGGUUUCUAGGACCGCCGUAAUGAUUAAUAGGGACAGUCGGGGGCAUCAGUAUUCAAUUGUCAGAGGUGAAAUUCUUGGAUUUAUUGAAGACUAACUACUGCGAAAGCAUUUGCCAAGGAUGUUUUCAUUAAUCAGGAACGAAAGUUAGGGGAUCGAAGACGAUCAGAUACCGUCGUAGUCUUAACCAUAAACUAUGCCGACUAGGGAUCGGACGAUGUUAUUUUUUGACUCGUUCGGCACCUUACGAGAAAUCAAAGUGCUUGGGCUCCAGGGGGAGUAUGGUCGCAAGGCUGAAACUUAAAGAAAUUGACGGAAGGGCACCACCAGGGGUGGAGCCUGCGGCUUAAUUUGACUCAACACGGGGAAACUCACCAGGUCCAGACACAAUGAGGAUUGACAGAUUGAGAGCUCUUUCUUGAUUUUGUGGGUGGUGGUGCAUGGCCGUUCUUAGUUGGUGGAGUGAUUUGUCUGCUUAAUUGCGAUAACGAACGAGACCUUAACCUGCUAAAUAGCCCGUAUUGCUUUGGCAGUACGCUGGCUUCUUAGAGGGACUAUCGGCUCAAGCCGAUGGAAGUUUGAGGCAAUAACAGGUUGACCUACACAGGCCUGUA
rnacentral:rRNA from 1 species